AUGAUGUGCGGUUUCAGUACUACUAGCUGUGAGGAGGAGGAGGUUAGCCUUGAUGGCCAGGUGGUACCUCGGAAGGACACCUUUCGGUAUUUGGGGUCAAUGUUGCAGGAGGAUGGGGGUAUUGAUGAAGAUGUGAACCAUCGAAUUAAAGCCGGAUGGAUGAAGUGGCGCCAAGCUUCUGGCAUUCUCUGUGACAAGAGAGUGCCACAAAAGCUAAAAGGCAAGUUCUACAGGACGGCGGUUCGACCCGCAAUGUUGUAUGGCGCGGAGUGUUGGCCGACUAAAAGGCGACAUGUUCACAGUUAG
rnacentral:rRNA from 1 species